rnacentral:rRNA from 1 species
GAUGAACGCUGGCGGCGUGCCUAAUACAUGCAAGUCGAGCGAACGGACGAGAAGCUUGCUUCUCUGAUGUUAGCGGCGGACGGGUGAGUAACACGUGGAUAACCUACCUAUAAGACUGGGAUAACUUCGGGAAACCGUAGCUAAUACCGGAUAAUAUUUUGAACCGCAUGGUUCAAAAGUGAAAGACGGUCUUGCUGUCACUUAUAGAUGGAUCCGCGCUGCAUUAGCUAGUUGGUAAGGUAACGGCUUACCAAGGCAACGAUGCAUAGCCGACCUGAGAGGGUGAUCGGCCACACGGAACUGAGACACGGUCCAGACUCCUACGGGAGGCAGCAGUAGGGAAUCUUCCGCAAUGGGCGAAAGCCUGACGGAGCAACGCCGCGUGAGUGAUGAAGGUCUUCGGAUCGUAAAACUCUGUUAUUAGGGAAGAACAUAUGUGUAAGUAACUGUGCACAUCUUGACGGUACCUAAUCAGAAAGCCACGGCUAACUACGUG